GGGAGACGGAGUAAUCCUGCUAACGCCAUCCUCCGGCGACGGUGACAGCGACACCGAAUCAGGCCCUCUCAGUAAAGACACCGGAUGCUGGACCUGCGGCGUCUGGUACUGAUUCGAAUACCUCGGCCUCGCCACAGGCACCUGUGUCCUCACAAAAGCCUGCGGAGGCUGGUCUUGCUGGGGAGUGAACCUGGCUGUCUUAUCGACCGGCGCCGUCCUCGGCAUGGGCGGUGGAGGAAUGCCCGACUGAGAUCCUUCGGGUGUCAAAAAUCUCCGUGCCGACGGGUUCGAAAAUGCCGCUGGAGGUGGAGGCAUGCCCGUAGGGGUGUGC
rnacentral:misc_RNA from 1 species